rnacentral:lncRNA from 1 species
AGGCCACAUGCUAAGAUUAUAUGCAUGUAUACUGGGCCUCAUGCUAAGAUUGUAUGUAUGUACACUGGGACUCAUGCUAAGAUUGUAUGUAUGUACACUGACUGGGCCUCAUUCACACACACACAAUAGAUUUACACCCCACUCUCAGGAAGCUUUGCUUCAGAGGUUGGCUUUGUUUAUUAAAAACCUAUCCAUAACUCUUACAUGUCAUAACAGCAUAUAACUAGUGACCCCACGCAUCUCUCGUCCUCUGAUUAAUCCUGUUGCUUUUCAGAUCCUUUCUUCUGAUCCACUACUAUGCAGCCUGCUCUCCGCAAAGCGGCCUCUAAUCUAUACCAGUGUCACUGGCGUCCCUGGCACCAUGUCCUAGGUUUCUAUUUGUGGGUUCAGGAUCAUAGCUGCUGUGCUCACAGACCCCUCAGCAGGGAUUUCUUUUCUUUCUUUUUGUGGUUUGAACCCCCAUAGCACUCAUUUCCUGCUGAGUGAAACCUUUGCUUCUCAUGCCCCCCCACAUUAAGCUUCGGAUAAUAUGGGGGCCUGUGGUCCAGCUCUCUCCACCCCCAGCCACAGCACUGGGCCUCCUGCUUGACCGUGGGUGGUCAAGGCAUGCUAUUA